UGGGGAAUUUUCCGCAAUGGGCGAAAGCCUGACGGAGCAAUACCGCGUGAGGGAAGAAGGCUCUUGGGUUGUAAACCUCUUUUCUUAGGGAAGAACAAAAUGACGGUACCUAAGGAAUCAGCAUCGGCUAACUCCGUGCCAGCAGCCGCGGUAAUACGGAGGAUGCAAGCGUUAUCCGGAAUGAUUGGGCGUAAAGCGUCCGCAGGUGGCACUUCAAGUCGAUUGUCAAAGGUCUUGGCUCAACCAAGAAAAGGCAGUGGAAACUGAAGGGCUAGAGUGCGGUAGGGGUAGAGGGAAUUCCCGGUGUAGCGGUGAAAUGCGUAGAGAUCGGGAAGAACACCAGUGGCGAAAGCGCUCUACUAAACCGCAACUGACACUCAGGGACGAAAGCUAGGGGAGC
rnacentral:rRNA from 1 species